rnacentral:rRNA from 1 species
AUUGAACGCUGGCGGCAGGCCUAACACAUGCAAGUCGGGCGAGAGGCGGACGGGUGAGUAAUGUAUGGGGAUCUGCCUGACGGAGGGGGCUAACUACUGGAAACGGUAGCUAAUACCGCAUACCACCAGAUGAACCCACAUGGGAUUAGCUGGUAGGUGAGGUAACGGCUCACCUAGGCGACGAUCCCUAGCUGGGCUGAGAGGAUGAUCAGCAACACUGGGACUGAGACACGGCCCAGACUCCUACGGGAGGCAGCAGUGGGGAAUAUUGCACAAUGGGCGCAAGUCUGAUGCAGCCAUGCCGCGUGUAUGAAGAAGGCCUUCGGGUUGUAAAGUUCUUUCAGUCGGGAGGCGUUACCGAAAGAAGAAGCAACGGCUAACUCCGUGCCAGCCGCCGCGGUAAUUC